rnacentral:rRNA from 1 species
UACGUAGGGGGCAAGCGUUGUUCGGAUUUACUGGGCGUAAAGGGCGCGUAGGCGGCAAUUCAAGUCAUCUGUGAAAUCUCCGGGCUUAACCCGGAACGGUCAGGUGAUACUGUUUUGCUAGAGUGCGGAAGGGGCAAUCGGAAUUCUCGGUGUAGCGGUGAAAUGCGUAGAUAUCGAGAGGAACACCAGAGGUGAAGACGGGUUGCUGGGCCGACACUGACGCUGACAGCGCGAAAGCCAGGGGAGCAAACGGG